AUUCACUUGCAAAACGUGAAGUUUUUGGCCUAUAGUUGAAACACCUAAUGGUGUUAAGCCUGUUGGCUAUAGAUGGGUCUUUGUACGCAAGAGAAAUGAGAAAAACAAGGUACAAAGAUAUAAGGCGCUGGGUAUAAAUGGGUCUUUGUACGCAAGAGAAAUGAGAAAAACGAGGUACAAAGAUAUAAGGCAUGCCUUGUUGCACAAGGAUU
rnacentral:lncRNA from 1 species